rnacentral:rRNA from 1 species
GGACCCGCACAAGUAGUGGAGCAUGUGGUUUAAUUCGAAGAUACGCGCAGAACCUUACCAACACUUGACAUGUUCGUCGCGACUUUAAGAGAUUAAAGUUUUCGGUUCGGCCGGACGAAACACAGGUGCUGCAUGGCUGUCGUCAGCUCGUGUCGUGAGAUGUUGGGUUAAGUCCCGCAACGAGCGCAACCCUCACUUUUAGUUGCCAUCAUUUAGUUGGGCACUCUGAAAGAACUGCCAGUGAUAAGCUGGAGGAAGGUGGGGAUGACGUCAAGUCCUCAUGGCCCUUACGUGUUGGGCUACACACGUGCUACAAUGAUAUUUACAACAGGAAGCAAAACGGCGACGUUAAGCAAAUCCUUAAAAAAUAUCUCAGUUCGGAUUGCACUCUGCAACUCGAGUGCAUGAAGCUGGAAUU